CGAGCGGACAGAUGGGAGCUUGCUCCCUGAUGUUAGCGGCGGACGGGUGAGUAACACGUGGGUAACCUGCCUGUAAGACUGGGAUAACUCCGGGAAACCGGGGCUAAUACCGGAUGGUUGUUUGAACCGCAUGGUUCAAACAUAAAAGGUGGCUUCGGCUACCACUUACAGAUGGACCCGCGGCGCAUUAGCUAGUUGGUGAGGUAACGGCUCACCAAGGCAACGAUGCGUAGCCGACCUGAGAGGGUGAUCGGCCACACUGGGACUGAGACACGGCCCAGACUCCUACGGGAGGCAGCAGUAGGGAAUCUUCCGCAAUGGACGAAAGUCUGACGGAGCAACGCCGCGUGAGUGAUGAAGGUUUUCGGAUCGUAAAGCUCUGUUGUUAGGGAAGAACAAGUACCGUUCGAAUAGGGCGGUACCUUGACGGUACCUAACCAGAAAGCCACGGCUAACUACGUGCCAGCAGCCGCGGUAAUACGUAGGUGGCAAGCGUUGUCCGGAAUUAUUGGGCGUAAAGGGCUCGCAGGCGGUUUCUUAAGUCUGAUGUGAAAGCCCCCGGCUCAACCGGGGAGGGUCAUUGGAAACUGGGGAACUUGAGUGCAGAAGAGGAGAGUGGAAUUCCACGUGUAGCGGUGAAAUGCGUAGAGAUGUGGAGGAACACCAGUGGCGAAGGCGACUCUCUGGUCUGUAACUGACGCUGAGGAGCGAAAGCGUGGGGAGCGAACAGGAUUAGAUACCCUGGUAGUCCACGCCGUAAACGAUGAGUGCUAAGUGUUAGGGGGUUUCCGCCCCUUAGUGCUGCAGCUAAACGCAUUAAAGCACUCCGCCUGGGGAGUACGGUCGCAAGACUGAAACUCAAAGGAAUUGACGGGGGCCCGCACAAGCGGUGGAGCAUGUGGGUUUAAUUUCGAAGCAACGCGAAGAACCUUACCAGGUCUUGACAUCCUCUGACAAUCCUAGAGAUAGGACGUCCCCUUCGGGGGCAGAGUUGACAGGUGGUGCAUGUUUGUCGUCAGCCUCGUGGUCGUGGAGAAUG
rnacentral:rRNA from 1 species